AUUGAACGCUGGCGGCAGGCCUAACACAUGCAAGUCGAGCGGAUGAAGGGAGCUUGCUCCUGGAUUCAGCGGCGGACGGGUGAGUAAUGCCUAGGAAUCUGCCUGGUAGUGGGGGAUAACGUCCGGAAACGGGCGCUAAUACCGCAUACGUCCUGAGGGAGAAAGUGGGGGAUCUUCGGACCUCACGCUAUCAGAUGAGCCUAGGUCGGAUUAGCUAGUUGGUGGGGUAAAGGCCUACCAAGGCGACGAUCCGUAACUGGUCUGAGAGGAUGAUCAGUCACACUGGAACUGAGACACGGUCCAGACUCCUACGGGAGGCAGCAGUGGGGAAUAUUGGACAAUGGGCGAAAGCCUGAUGCAGCCAUGCCGCGUGUGUGAAGAAGGUCUUCGGAUUGUAAAGCACUUUAAGUAGGGAGGAAGGGCAGUAAGUUAAUACCUUGCUGUUUUGACGGUACCAACAGAAUAAGCACCGGCUAACUUCGUG
rnacentral:rRNA from 1 species